AGUGAACGCUGGCGGCAGGCCUAACACAUGCAAGUCGAACGGCAGCACGGCAGUAGCAAUACUGUGGGUGGCGAGUGGCGGACGGGUGAGGAAUACAUCGGGAUCUACCCUGUUGUGGGGGAUAACGUAGGGAAACUUACGCUAAUACCGCAUAAGAACUGAGGUUGAAAGCGGCGGACCGCAAGGCGUCGCGCGAUUGGAUGAACCGAUGUCCGAUUAGCUAGUUGGCGGGGUAAAGGCCCACCAAGGCGACGAUCGGUAGCUGGUCUGAGAGGACGACCAGCCACACUGGAACUGAGGCACGGUCCAGACUCCUACGGGAGGCAGCAGUGGGGAAUAUUGGACAAUGGGCGCAAGCCUGAUCCAGCCAUGCCGCGUGGGUGAAGAAGGCCUCGGUGUAAGCACUUAAGUCGGGGAGGAAGGGACCGUUGGAGACGUAAUAACUACUUGUAGGAGUUAGACGUUACC
rnacentral:rRNA from 1 species